GUAAAUACGGAGGAAGGUGGGGAGUGAUGUCAAAUCAUCAUGCCCCUUAUGUCCUGGGCUACACACGUACUACAAUGGCUGAUACAAAGCGAAGCGAUACCGCGAGGAGGAGCAAAUCGCAAAAAUCAGUCUCAGUUCGGAUUGCAGGCUGAAACCCGCCUGCAUGAAGUCGGAAUUGCUAGUAAUGGCAGGUCAGCAUACUGCCGUGAAUACGUUCCCGGGCCUU
rnacentral:rRNA from 1 species